AUCGCUUCUCGGCUCUCUUGAGCUAAGAUCAAAGUGUAGUAUCUGUUCUUAUCAGCUUAAUAUCUGAUACAGUCCCCAUAGGGGGCUCAGUAUAUUAAUCUAUUUUUUGGAACCAGGCGGGUGAACGGGGCUUGCUCCGACCUUGCCACGGGUCGACCCUGCAUUGCAUUGCAGCAGGGUACGGCUCAGCAUAG
rnacentral:snRNA from 1 species